UUGUUGGUAAGGUAAAAGCUUACCAAGGCUUCGAUCAGUAGCUGGUCUGAGAGGACGACCAGCCACACUGGGACUGAGACACGGCCCAGACUCCUACGGGAGGCAGCAGUGGGGAAUUUUGGACAAUGGGGGCAACCCUGAUCCAGCCAUGCCGCGUGAGUGAAGAAGGCCUUCGGGUUGUAAAGCUCUUUCAGCCGGAACGAAACGGUUACGGUUAACACCCGUGACUACUGACGGUACCGGAAGAAGAAGCACCGGCUAACUACGUGCCAGCAGCCGCGGUAAUACGUAGGGUGCGAGCGUUAAUCGGAAUUACUGGGCGUAAAGCGUGCGCAGGUGGUUUUGUAAGUCAGAUGUGAAAGCCCCGGGCUCAACCUGGGAACUGCGUUUGAAACUACAAGACUAGAGUGUGGCAGAGGGGGGUGGAAUUCCGCGUGUAGCAGUGAAAUGCGUAGAGAUGUGGAGGAACACCGAUGGCGAAGGCAGCCCCCUGGGUCAACACUGACGCUCAGGCACGAAAGCAUGGGGAGCAAACAGGAUUAGAUACCCUGGUAGUCCAUGCCCUAAACGAUGUCAACUAGUUGUCGGGCCUUUACGGGCUUGGUAACGUAGCUAACGCGUGAAGUUGACCGCCUGGGGAGUACGAUCGCAAGAUUACAACUCAAAUGAAUUGACGGGGACCCGCACAAGCGGUGGAUUAUGUGGAUUAAUUCGAUGCAACGCGAAAAACCUUACCUACCCUUGACAUGUAUCGAAGCCCGCAGAAAAGCGGGGGUGCCCGAAAGGGAACGAUAACACAGGUGCUGCAUGGCUGUCGUCAGCUCGUGUCGUGAGAUGUUGGGUUAAGUCCCGCAACGAGCGCAACCCUUGUCAUUAAUUGCCAUCAUUUAGUUGGGCACUUUAAUGAGACUGCCGG
rnacentral:rRNA from 1 species